UACGACCAUAUCACAUUGAAACACCGGUUCUUGUACGGUCACCAAAGUUAAGCAAUGUCAUGUCUGGUCGGUACCUAGAUGAGUGACUGCUUGGGAAUAUCAGGUGCUGUAAG